CCACUUCAAUCUCAGAUCCUGAUCUUAGUAAAGGUUCAUCUAUUCGUCCUUCUACGUCUUGCUCAUCAUGAACUUUGCUACGGAUAAAAGCGUGGAAAGGUACAGCGACAGGAGAGGCUAAGAGUAUGAGAAGUAUGGAAGCGAAUGCGAUUGAGAAAGCUCCUGUUUUGAUUCCGAUGAUGUCGUAAGACUGAAGGUACACAGCAACAACAACCGCAACGAUGUUAAACACAGCAAAGUAUUUAGACUCUUCGUUAUCCUCGGCGAAGGUAGUAGACGGAGGGAUUUCACGGAGG
rnacentral:lncRNA from 1 species